rnacentral:rRNA from 1 species
CCGGCGCACGGGUGAGUAACACGUAUCCAACCUGCCGUCUACUCUUGGCCAGCCUUCUGAAAGGAAGAUUAAUCCAGGAUGGGAUCAUGAGUUCACAUGUCCGCAUGAUUAAAGGUAUUUUCCGGUAGACGAUGGGGAUGCGUCCAUUAGAUAGUAGGCGGGGUAACGGCCCACCUAGUCAACGAUGGAUAGGGGUUCUGAGAGGAAGGUCCCCCACAUUGGAACUGAGACACGGUCCAA